GUUUAGCGGUUUCUUUGUACACCCCUAGCUGGUGGAAUUGAAUUUAUGGUGGUGGCUGUUGUUGUUUUUUUUCCCCACAAGGAGGAGCAAGUCCUCAUUUUCUUUGUAGCAUGGUCAUGCAAAAAAUUACUUUUGAACUAUUGGAAUUGGAAAUUUUCGUAUGUGAAAAACAGUUUGUGUAACAGUUUCCUUUUCUUCUCUUUUUGGCUUAACUGAAAAUGUUGACAUUUUUUUCCCUUAGUCUUAUUGGGUUGGCUCUUGCCUUUCUUCCUCCCCCCAUUCUUCUUUUUUCCACAUUCUAGCCUGGAUUCAGCAUUUUUA
rnacentral:misc_RNA from 1 species